GAGAGGUGUGGGGACUUCAUGCAAACGCUGUCUGGAGGAGUUUGGAAAUAAUACUUGUUGUUCAAAUGUUACCAACCUGACAAGCAUUGAUGGAGCAAGUCCAAUAAAGGUAUCCGUGGCAGGAAGCGAGAGGCAGCCCAGAAACAGCUCAGAAGAAACCCUGAUGUUGAAAAUGAGCAACCUAUAUGGAAUAGGAUGCAACAGCGGUAAAAAUAAAUAAAACUGAUGACACACUUUCAAAGAGAGCAGGGGCAGUUGACCGGCCUUCUUGAUGCUGUUGGAAUACAACCCUCCCCAUCUGAGAAUACUGGCUGGGCAGGGGGCUCAGGCUGAUGAGAACUGGAGUCCUACAACAUCUGGAGGGCCACAUGUUCCAGAGCAGUGAAUCAAGAAGAGGAAUUAUCCUUUCUCACAUGGGAAUGCCUCUCCUAAAUAGAAGCAGUCUUCCAUCUCUUUCAUUCAUCCAACUCUUGAGAAGGCCCAGGCUUUUGGAAAUGAAUCGUGCAAAAGCUUCUCUGUUCAAAAGCAAUCCACAGGUUUCCUGCAUCUGUAUCCUGGGGACACCAAGUGAAUGAUAAUAAUUUGCAAUAACUGGUAUUCCGAGGCAUCUUACCUCUGGCAGGGGAAGCAGGAUGCUACAAAGCCUUCCAAAACCAAGUCCAGGGCUGGCAAAUUUGAAAAUUGCUUUAUAUUAGGGAAGCAGCACCCAUCAGGUCAUAUGCUGACUUGCUGUAGAAGGAUUCAAACAAGGUAAGUGUGCAUAAGUCCUCUCCCCUGCUCUCUAAACA